AAAGCUGUGACUAGAUGAUAACAUGUAAAAAUAUCUUUCUUGUAGUGGAUCUUCAAUGAAAUUUUCUUGUUAAGUUUGGCUUCUUUGCUUU
rfam:Citrus clementina cultivar Clemenules unplaced genomic scaffold scaffold_1, whole genome shotgun sequence.